rnacentral:lncRNA from 1 species
CUCCCUUGUUAACGUAUAAGAUGCUUUUGACUUCAAAAAUUUUUCAGAUGACACCUCAACCAGUUCUAAUAGAGGACACUUUCAUAUGUUCUUCAUAUCUGCUUGAGCCUUAGGGUUAUCCUUCAUCUUGCCCUUGACAUCCAUAAGUGUAGAAAAUAUUAUCAAAUACAUUCUUCUCAAUAUGCAUGACGUCAAGAUUAUGACGGAUCAAAUUG